ACAUGCGAGGGCACUCUGGCUGCAACAUCUGUCACCCCAUUGAUAACCAGGGUUGAUUGAGCUGAUCUGGCUGGCUAGGCGGGUAUCCCCUUCCUCCCUCACUGCUCCACAUGCAUCCCUCCUGAAGCUGUGCAUUCGGUGGAAGAGAAUGACCUUUCCCGCUAUAGGAGGACUUUUUCGUCAAGAGUAUAUGAAUAGCUGCACUUCCCUGCUAGAAAUUCCAAACAAGCUCUCAAGGUCAGUACAAACCACCCACCCACCCCCAUAUUAUUUGUGAAUGUAAUAUGUUUAACUUAUGAUUUGGAAUGACAGAGAAAUUUAUUUACAUGGUGCGCCGGUUUGAAUGUAUU
rnacentral:snRNA from 1 species